rnacentral:lncRNA from 1 species
AAUUAAAUUGUCCUCUUCAUGGAAGGUGAUUUGCACACAGUUUUAACCUAUUUGGGAGGUCAAAUUCAGAUUCUUCAUCUUACAAUUGGGGUAAGAGAGCUACGAAGAGGAAAAAAACACCACAAACAUCAAAGAUUGGAAAUUUGUUUCUCGGGAUUGAAGAUUUAAAGCAAAGGAAAAUCUGAAAAUUAAUUCAAAACUCAAUUGAAGGAUUUCAAGGGAGACGAUAUUUUUCGGUGACGAAUAAUCAAUUCCUUUCAUAUUUUUAUGUAAUUAGCUUGGUAAACUAAACCGUUAGUGUUGGGAUGAUGAUUUAAAUCAUUCAGUUUUCAUUUUAAUUCAAGACUUCUUCUUUUAAUUAUGAUUUGUGUUUAUCUAUUUAGAUAAUUAUAAGUGACUUGCUUUAUUUUCAGGAGGUACGAAAUAGAUUUAGCACAUCGUUAUAAUGAACAUAAGUUCCUUAUGAAAUUAAUAAAGAUUUGUGAUUUAAUGUGUUUUUAGGCAUUUGAAUCCGAAUUUAGAAAUAUGUUUGGCCUUACUCGUGAGAGGUUGUUAAACAUUGUAGGACUAUGGAUUGUCAAUCUAUGCACAAGUUAGGUUAAAAAAUAGAGGUUGAAGAUUCUAAAGGAAGCUAAUGGAGGAGUCAUAUUCCUAACAUGUUUUCUCACAUAAUUUGUUUUCAAACUCAUUUCCAUUUGCAUCUAGUUAGUCUUAGUAUAUUAAUUAGUAGUUAUUGAUACAAAGAGAAGUGUUACGUGUACAUAAUUGUCUACAUGAUGACGUCCAUAAUUACACGUGACACUGAAUCCAAUCUUUAAUUCAAAUCUCACACUUGCAUGUCAACAAUCGGAUGAUUGUCACAUCACAUUAUGUACACCAUUAUGUGCAAUAAUUAUGUACAAGUAGAAUUUUCCUUGAUACAAAAUAUCAAACUAUCAAUUGUGUGUGUCAAUUUGUUUUUUUAUCUCAAAUUGAUGGAAUUGUAUUAAAGUCUAAAUUCUUAUGGGAACAAUAUUCGUACUCAUUUUAUACUUUUACAUGUCAACGAUCUCGUAAGUUUACAGAAUUCUACUGAACGAGUUUUUGGCACCGUUGCGAAGAAUUAAGAGUUUUAUUAGUUCAUAAUUAUGUUUUGAAUUUCAUUAGUUCAUAAUUAUGUUUUGAAGUUUCUUUUUGUUUUUGGAUUACUAUUGUUUUUGUCUUGUUAAUACUCUUGUUUUCUUGGAUCUUUUCAAGUGUUUGCAUAAUGAUUUAUGCAAGAUUUCAAGAUCACGGACUCCUACCACUUGAUCUUGAGAUCGAGUAAACUUUUAAACAACAUUGAAAAGAGCCGAGAGAGAACAAGAAGAAGAAAAAUUGACAACAGAUCAUGUUCAAGCACCUCAACAAGUUGUGGUAUAGUUGAUGAAGAAGAUUUCCAAGCUGGGGGGUUUUAUGAUCCCACCAGUUGUGUAAAGUCAAUCAAGAAUUACUUAUCCUCCAUACCGGCAAGCUAACUUCUAACUCUGAUCAAAUGUGAUCAAUCUCACUAACAAUCACAACCAGUUGUAGUUCAUGGCAAGGCUCAUGAAAAUACACAUGAGCAUGCACUUCGUUUUCCAGAGUUGUGAGGGAAUUUUGUCUAUCAGGGAGUUGCUGAAAAAGCCAUUCAAAUGCAUUUAUUCCCAAAUACUUGAGAAUAACACAUGAGAAUGGCUAUAUUCAUUACCUGUUUGUGGCAUUACUUGUGAGAUGAUAUGGUUCAUAAUUUCACCUACAAGUACUUCCUGCUAUCAUAAUUUGCCAAACUUAAGCACGCCAUAUCUAUAUUCAGGCAACUUCAUUCCUAAAGCUUUCAUGAAACAUGAUAGAUUUGUUGGGGAGAAAAUGCGUGGGUCGAGUUUGGUUGACAAAUAAUGAAAUUGAGAAAAUACAGUUAAAAAUGGACACAGGUAUUUAUGUGGUUCACCCAAUUUAGGCUACGUCCACGGACAAGUAUGGGAGGAUUCACUAUAGUAGGAGAAUUACAACAAUCUCUCUAAAUACAAGGAGAUAACAACGAAUAAUCUCUCUUGUAAUAGGAGAAAACAAGUAAAAAAAAAGAACUUUGGAGAAAAACAAUAAAUUUUCUCUCUUCUCUUCACCUUACAAUUUUCUCUCUUAAUUUUUUCUCUCCAU